GUCCUCGAUUUUUAAGUUUCAAAUCAUCUAAUGUCAGAUCGUGAACAGUCAUUUGAGAGAUUUCUACAGACUUUGCUGUUAUAGUCGCAUCCCAUACUCAUCUCAUGUUUUAGUAUUUAUAUAUUAUUAUAUAGCAUAUUAUUUAAUUAUUUAUCCAUCUAUCAAUCACUGUAGUUUUUUACUAUUGGAUCAUUAUGAUAAAUAAUAUCCUAAAACGGACUACUUGUUUGAAUUCAGACAGAAACUGGAAUUUAUAUGCCAUUUCAAGGGCACAACCUGUUGCAAAUUUGAUGAAGAAUCACACCUUAGGGAGAAUUAUUCUCCAUUGAGAGACGACGUUGAGGUUAAAGACUCAGGAUCUGUUACUCAGAUUUCUGUCCAAUGUGAGAAAAACCCUGAGGGUAAAGAUGGAGUGGUGAUAUUCGACAAGGAGGCAUUUCCUGUUGCCAACUUUCUUUAUCAUUCCAGAGAAGAUCAUGCUAAAGAUGAAGAAUGAAUAUUUAUGAGAGAAUCUGGACAAAAAAUGUAUACUCUGUGGGAUCAAUUGGCAC